rnacentral:tRNA from 5 species
GCCCGAGUAGCUCAGUUGGUAGAGCACACGAUUGAAAAUCGUGGUGUCGGUGGUUCGAACCCGCCCUCGGGCACCA